rnacentral:rRNA from 1 species
AGAGUUUGAUUCUGGCUCAGAACGAACGCUGGCGGCGUGGAUAAGACAUGCAAGUCGAACGGGGAAUUCUUAGAGCUUGCUUUUAGAAUUUCUAGUGGCGGACGGGUGAGUAACACGUGGGCGACAUGCCGGAAAGUGGGGGAUAGCCCGAGGAAACUCGGAUUAAUACCGCAUGUGAUCUAGUAGGACAUCCUACCAUGAUUAAAGGUGGCGCAAGCUGCCGCUUUCUGAUUGGCCCGCGGCCUAUCAGCUUGUUGGUGAGGUAACGGCUUACCAAGGCAACGACGGGUAACUGGUCUGAGAGGACGACCAGUCACACUGGAACUGAGACACGGUCCAGACACCUACGGGUGGCAGCAGUCGAGAAUCAUUCGCAAUGGACGAAAGUCUGACGGUGCGACGCCGCGUGGAGGAUGACGGUCCUAGGAUUGUAAACUCCUGUCAUCAGUGAGUAAGGCUGUGUAGAGUAACUGCUACACAGUUUGAUAGUAGCUGAAGAGGAAGAGACGGCUAACUCUGUGCCAGCAGCCGCGGUAAUACAGAGGUCUCAAGCGUUGUUCGGAAUUACUGGGCGUAAAGCGUGCGUAGGCGGCUUGGUAAGUCAGAUGUGAAAUCCCGGGGCUCAACCUCGGAACUGCAUCCGAUACUGCCAGGCUUGAGUAGUGGAGGGGAGUCUGGAAUUCACGGUGUAGCAGUGAAAUGCGUAGAUAUCGUGAGGAACACUAGUGGCGAAGGCGAGACUCUGGACACUUACUGACGCUGAGGCACGAAGGCUAGGGUAGCGAAAGGGAUUAGAUACCCCUGUAGUCCUAGCAGUAAACGGUGCACGUUUGGUGUGGGAGGAUUUGACCCCUUCCGUGCCGGAGCUAACGCGCUAAACGUGCCGCCUGGGGAGUACGGCCGCAAGGCUAAAACUCAAAGAAAUUGACGGGGACCCGCACAAGCGGUGGAGUAUGUGGCUUAAUUCGAUGCAACGCGAAGAACCUUACCUGGCCUUGACAUGCAUUGCUAAACCGGUGAAAGCCGGGGAGACUUCGGUCACCUUGCACAGGUGCUGCAUGGCUCGUCAGCUCGUGUCGUGAGAUGUUUGGUUAAGUCCAGCAACGAGCGCAACCCCUGUGAUCUGUUGCCACCACGUAAUGGUGGGGACUCUGAUCAGACUGCCCAGAUCAACUGGGAGGAAGGUGGGGAUGACGUCAAGUCUGUUGGCCCUUACGGCCAGGGCUGCACACGUACUACAAUGCCCAGUACAAUGUGAACCGAUACCGCGAGGUGGAGGAAAUCCUUAAAACUGGGCUCAGUUCGGAUUGGAGGCUGCAACUCGCCUCCAUGAAGUCGGAAUCGCUAGUAAUGGCGCAUCAGCUACGGCGCCGUGAAUACGUUCCCGGGUCUCGUACACACCGCCCGUCACAUCAUGGAAGUCGCUCGUACCCGAAGUGUCUGUGCCAACUUUUAGAGGCAGGGCCCUAAGGUAUUGGUGGUAACUGGGAUGAAGU